rnacentral:rRNA from 1 species
AUACAGAGGGUGCGAACGUUAAUCGGAAUUACUGGGCGUAAAGCGCGCGUAGGCGGUCUAUUAAGUCAGAUGUGAAAUCCCAGGGCUCAACCUUGGAACUGCAUCUGAUACUGGUAGACUAGAGUUUUGGAGAGGGAAGUAGAAUUUCAGGUGUAGCGGUGAAAUGCAUAGAGAUCUGAAGGAAUACCAGUGGCGAAGGCGACUUCCUGGCCAAAAACUGACGCUGAGGUGCGAAAGCGUGGGUAGCAAACGGGAUUAGAUACCCUAGUAGUCC